rnacentral:rRNA from 1 species
UACGGGGGGAGCAAGCGUUGUUCGGAUUUACUGGGCGUAAAGGGCGCGUAGGCGGCCACCGCAAGUCGACUGUGAAAUCUCCGGGCUUAACCCGGAAAGGUCAGCCGAUACUGCGGGGCUAGAGUGCAGAAGGGGCAACUGGAAUUCUCGGUGUAGCGGUGAAAUGCGUAGAUAUCGAGAGGAACACCUGCGGCGAAGGCGGCUCACUGGCUCGGUACUGACGCUGAGGUGCGAAAGCGUGGGGAGCAAACAGG